UCAGACAGCUGAUGGUACAUUAUGUCAUGUCACCCACAAGGGUUCUCUUUCCAAUUCUAAUUUUACUGUUCUAAAUAUAUUUUUUGUACCUGAGUUAUCCAUGGAUCUACUAUCAGUUGGUAAAAUUACCUAUCACAGUUGUUUUGUUGGAUUUGAUGACUCAUCUUGUUUUGUACAGGAUCGUCACACAGGGGAUGUGAUUGGGACUGGUUGUAGUCGUAAAUCUUCGCCUCGCCUUUACAUCUUGGACACAUUGCGUCUUCCUUCCUACCAUACCUAUACACCACAUGUGCUUGCUGCUUCAGGUCCCACGACGUCGAUUGCCCAGUGGCAUCAUCGUCUAGGUCACUUAUGUGGAUCUCGUCUGUCCACUCUAAUAAAGUCAGGAUGUUUAGGCCCUACACAUGUUGAGUCUAGUUUUCAUUGUAAAGGUUGUCAUCUUGGAAAAAAAAUACAACUUCCAUAUUUUACUAGUGAUUCUAAUUCUACUAAACCUUUUGAUCUAAUUCACUUUGAUGUUUGAGGUCCAGCUUCGUUUGUUUCAAAAGGUGGUCAUAAAUAUUAUGUCAUUUUUAUUGAUGAUCAUUCUCGUUAUACUUGGAUUUGCUUCAUGAAACGCAUCUCGGAAUUGCCUUCUAUUUAUAAGUCCUUCACUCGCAUGGUUCACACCCAGUUUUCUGCUACUAUUAAAAUAUUUUGUUCCGAUUCUGGUGGUGAAUUUUUAUCUGACAAUUUUCGCCAGCUAUCGACCUUAGAGGGUACUCUAGCUCAGCUUUCUUGUCCUAGUGCUCAUGCCCAAAAUGGUGUUGCUGAACGCAAACGCCGUUAUAUUAUUGAGUGCUCGUACUAUUUUGAUAUCUUCUUUUGUUCCUUCACACUUUUGGAGUGAAGUUGUUUCCACUAUUGUGUAUCUCAUUAAUAGACAACCAUCAUCUAAACUUUUUGGCAAAUCUCCGGGUGAAGUUCUUUUUGGGACUCCUCCACGAUAUGAUCAUCUUCAUGUGUUUGGAUGUAUAUGUUAUGUCUUGUUACCACCACGUGAGCGGACCAAAUUGACUGCUCAAUCUGUAGAAUGUGUAUUCCUUGCAUACAGUAUUGAACACAAAGGCUAUCAUUAUUAUGAUCCUUCUACUCGUCGUGUUCGAAUUUCUAGAGAGGUGAGUUUCAAUGAAAAUCGGCCCUUCUUUCACAACCAGUCUACUCACUCCUCAUAUUAUCCCACAGAAUCUACUUCUUUCAUGUGUCUUCCUUCCAUUCUUGCAUCUGCACCAUCAUCUUCUACAUCCACAUUUGAUGUUCUCAUUCUCAUAACACCACCUUCCACCUCCACGUCAUCUUCUUCUUACUCUUCCAAACCACCUGUCAUCCAAACCUAAAUUCGUCGUUCCCGCUCUAUUUCUACGGUUGGUCCUGAUACUGAUCAUGUACCUGAUUCUUGUACUGACAAUAAUGAGUCUAAUGAUGUUUUUAAUCAGGGAUAUCGUCUUCGUGACCGUGGUACCAUUGAACCUCCAGAUCGCUAUGGUUUUCCACAGGCUGGUGUGGCAAUUGUUGAACCCACUACAUAUCAGGAAGCUUCUGGGAUUCUCGAGUGGCAGCUAGCUAUGAUUGAUGAAUUGGCUGCUCUUGAACGCACUGGUACAUGGGAUAUCGUUCCUUUACCCUCGCAUGUUGUUCCUAUCACAUGUAAAUGGGUCUUCAAGGUUAAGACAAAAUCAGAUGGUUCCAUUGUGAGGUAUAAAGCUCGUCUAGUGGCUCGUGGUUUUCAACAGACUCAAGGACUUGAUUAUGAUGAGACUUUUGCACCUGUUGCGCAUAUGACUAUUGUUCGAACCUUGAUUGUAGUUGCAGCCUCAUCUUCUUGGACUAUCUCCCAGAUGGAUGUCAAGAAUGCUUUUCUCAAUGGUGAUCUACAAGAAGAAGUUUAUAUGCAUCCUCCUCCGGGGGUUGAUACUCCCUCAGGGCAUGUUUGUCGUCUCCGUCACGCAUUGUAUGGGCUGAAACAAGCUCCUCGUGCUUGGUUUGAGCGAUUCAUCUCUGUCAUCACAGCUGCUGGUUUUUCUUCUAGUGAACAUGAUCCUGCAUUGUUUGUUCAUGUCUCUCCAAAAAGCCGCACGAUUAGGGGCAAUUAGUCACUCGAUCAGCCAAUUCUGCGCGACUAGGGUUUAUGAUCCUGAAAUUUUGAUUUCGUGGGCUUUUUUUGGCGGGCGGCCCGACUACAGGGAGAUGGAACGCCAGCGCCGUCUCUACUCUCUAUAAAACCGACGGUUCACAUCUCCUACGUUCCUGGCAUCUCGAUCUCUUUCCUUUUCUUCUCUUCUUCUCUAUUUUCCUACCGGCUGCUAGACUUCUCGUUCCAGACUUCACCAGUACACCGGCUGACCGGCGAUCAUCUGUGCGUGUUGCGCGGUUCCAGUUCCAGACUUCACCGGCCCAGAUUUCUCGUUCUAGACACGCGCGGUUCCAGAAUCCAGAUUUCGCCGGCAUGAGUUCAUCUUCUGGAGAGUUUGGUCGUCGUCGUCGGGAUAAUGUUGAAGUGCUCUUCCUAGAAUCACAAUUUGUGGGCAGCGGCAAUCCAUCUUCUGUUGCGGAUAACAAUGAUCUUGCUUCGGCAUCAUCAGUCGUUACGGAUUCUGCAGCACUCGUUGAGAAGGCUAUUGCAAAGUUGCCUGCUGAUGUUCGUGCGCAUGCAACUGAUUCAAAGAGAAAAGCCUAUGGAGGAUUGGCAUAUGAACACCAAAGCCUUGCAAAAAGAAUUAUAAGCCUAUGUUGCUCAGCAUCUGGUUGUGAAAGAAACUGGAGUGACUUUGCAGCAAUCCAUACAAAAAAGAGAAACAGACUGGAGCACAAGAGACUAAAUAAAUUGGCCUAUGUAAGCUACAACAGGAAGAUGGAUAAUAGGUUCACAAAUAUAAGAGAGCUAGGUUCCAAGGGAAAGAGAAGCAAUCCACUGUUGCUUGAAGAGUUUACAUAGCAAAAUAAAUGGGUUGAAGAAGAAUAUGAUGGUGACAACAUUUGGGGUGCUGUGGAUGAAGCUCUAGGUGCAACUCAGGGUCUCCGGAGCCGAAAUUUGCCUAGGACUGCUGCUGCUACUGCAGGUGCUGGUUCCUCCUCUCAAACUCAGACACAAACCUAUGUUAGAACCAAAAAACGACCCAGAAAUGCAGCAGCUACAGCUCAAGGCAUACGUGAAUAAGAUGACAAUUCUCCUGCUGAAGAUGAACAAGAACAAGAGACAGCAAGACAAAUGAAUGAUGAUGAAGAUGAAGGCAAACAAGAAUCAGGUGGAAGGGGAGCUGCAGGUGAUGAAUUUCAGUUGGAUGAAGAUCUUCUUUAGGUAACUGGGUGGUAAUGUGUGUUGUGUGGUAUCUGGGACUGGUAGUAUUAGUAACUAGUAAGUGUUUCUUUGUUGUUUUCAGUAUUGCUGAAUUCAUGUCAUGUUUACCCUAUCCUUCAUAUAUAUUAAAUAGUUAUAUAAUUAUAUACUAUAUAGUAUAUACUAUAUACUAUAUACAUAGGUCCUGGAUGAAUAGGACGACUAGUAAACGACCAGGUCGACCAAAGGUCGAUUAGUCGACCUAGUCGACGACUAAUCGAGAUUAGUCGCAUGGUCGUUCCCCCAGUUCGACUAGCUGGUCGAGCGACCAGAAAACAUAGGAUGCAAUGAGUGAAAAAAGGCCAAGACAAUCAAGUGAAUGAGUGAUUGGAUCCUAACUGAUGUAUAAAACCCAAAUAAGUUUGUCAUACAACUCCAGAAAGGCUUACCUUAGCUCCUACAGUUGCAGAGCACUUUUGGGUUGUUGGAACAGUUAUUUUCGUAAUUUUAAAAUUUACAGAGACAUUUGCAUUCAUAUGUUACAGCAAACAAUGAGUAUCAAUGAAUGCAUUGUGCCGAGAAAUGGGAAAUGACUU